rnacentral:lncRNA from 1 species
AAUAAAAUUUUCGGAAUUUCGUGUAUAACCCUAAAAAACAUGUAUCUCUUCCUCGUACAACCUUCCUCUCAAAAUGCCUCCGCCAUCAGUCGACACCGGAGAAAAUGUCACCAUCUCCGGUGACUCUGAAAUUUACACCUUGAAACCGCCUCAAUGCCCUUAUCACAAAUAUCAUAUUAUCAUCUCUUGAAUCUUACUGGAGGGCAUCGAAUAAUUGAAAGGGUUGCCACUGUCUCCGCUGUCCACGGCAGCGACGCCUCCCAAACUGGCCAAAAUUCACACCACAAAUCCGCUCCCGUCUCCUCAUCAUUAAUCCAUCAACAACUGGCCUCAAGUCGUGACUGAAAUCCUCGAAAGUGCAAAAUCAAUAACGGUCAAGAACCCUAGUCGUUCUAGUGGUUUCAAAAGAACAUGCCAAGGUCGCCUUGCCUCCCUCAUAUGAAAUCCAAGGUCAAUCGCGCUCGAACGUCGUCGGAAUUGCUCGGGUGAUUAAAUUGAUAAGCGUCAGAACUUCAAGUCAUAAUAGUGAGUUCUGCUUAAUUUUAACUUAUGUUUCUUUCAUCAUCCUCUCAUGUUUCGGAAUUUGGUUCGUGUUGAUGAUCCUUUAUUAAUAGAUUGUACAAAUGUUAAUUUUGUCAUUAAUUUUGUUCAAAUAUUUAGGGCCCAGCUUGGAUUGUUCAUUUUAUUGAAAUUAAUUUACUUCUUGCUAUUGAUAUUUUUCUGUCGUUCCAUUUUGAUUUUGUGAAGUUCUAAUUGUUUGGUGAUUAAUUUUUAGCUGAUUAUUUGUGGUUGGGUUUUGGGUACGUUAUUGAUCUGCUCUGCAUUUAGUUUAAGCCAUGUUAAUUAGACGAUUGCUUAAAUACCUUAAUUUGCUGAACUUUAGCAUAAUAUCUAUUUAGGUUGUAAUUGACUUUUGAUUAAGGGGUUGUAUCAGUUACCGAGUGGUAAUUCCAGGUUGAAAACAGGGGUAGUUUGGGCAUUGAAAAUGUCAAUUUGUUAAGUCAUGUUAAUAUUAGUUGAACACGAGGGGUAAUUGGGGUAAUUCAAAAGUAUGGUAUGUUUUAAUAUCUGAAUGGAGUCCUCUAGGAACAUUCUAGACGGGGUUCACUUUAGAAUUUUAAUAAGUUCGGUGGUAUAACUUGGGAAACAAGUCAGUCUUCUAGGGAUACUUAAGCAAAAACAAAAAUUAGAAAAGGAAGUAAGGCAAAAUAGAAAAUUAGAUGGCUGCCCUCAUUUGUGCAUAUAAAAGGGCACCCCCUUUACUUCAUUCACAAGUUUUGACAACCUUAAAAACUUCCCCAAAAUACUCCCCAAAGCUUCUUGAUCUGGAAUUGAAACUUCAGAUCUGAAAUUCUCUCAGAUUUUAACUUCUUCAAAGGGAAAAACCAAAAAUAAUAGAAAAAUGACUGAAAAUAAAAAAAAAACAAAUACUGUUUUUAUUUAAUUUCUGAGGUUAAAAAUUCAAGUUUAGUGGUUGAUUUGCAUUCUUAGCUCGAUGUCAGGUAAUUGAAUUUCAAAAGUGUUUCUAGUUGGUUUUUCAAGUGGAUUCUGGGUUCAGUCAAUCUAUUUUGGGACUAGUUUUGUUGAUUUUCGAGAUCUAGGUUGUUUCUGGUUGUUUGAGAGUUCGUAUGUGAUUUGAAAAUGGUUCCUGAUGUUUGUGCUGGUUGAUUGUCAAAUUAUUCCUGAAUUACUGUCAUUUUUGUUCAGUAUCUAGUAAUUGAAGUCCUGAAAUCAUUUUGAUUUUGUAUUUGGAUCGUAUUGGGAUCUAUUUGAGUUAUUGUUGUUUGUUUCUAUUGCUGAGACUGAUUUGGAUCACCUGGGUUCAACUUUGAGUCUAUUUGAUGGGUUCAAGUGGUUUGUGAUUGUAUUUUCCUGAUUAUGUCCUACUCCUAAUUUAUUAGGUUGUCAAACAUAUUUAUGGGCUAAAACUGGUGAAGUUGGUGUUAUUUGGACUCUAGUUAAUUGUGUUGUGUACUACUACUGCUAAUCUCUCCUUCCUUCUGUUCCUUUCCAAUUUCUAGGUACACAUUAGAAACACCAGCUGAUGUAAUUUGUGAAACGAGAUGCCGAAAUAAAAUGUUACUUAGAAAUUUUGUAUUCUUAAUUUGCAGUAGUAGAGUAAUUCUCAGAAAAAAAUAGUUUCAUUUCAAUUUCUGUUUACCUGUAUAAUUAGAUUGAAAUUUAACUGUGAUGGGACUGUCAGGUUAUAAAUUUGUGAGUGUUGAAUUCAUUCUUGUGAGCUUAUGAAAUUUUUAGUUAGCUUGGUGUUGCUAAUAAGGUAUAUUGUAAUAGCCUAAGUUUUCUUCAAUAAUUACAGAAAAAAAUUCAAAUGGCUCUACAUCUCAGUGUGUUAGUUUCAAUGUUUAAUAGACUGCUUUGGAUUGUCAAUUGGUUUGUUAAUUUCAGUCCAUGCCUCUAGUUGUUUUGUUGUUACUCUUAAUAAUAUCCAGUAACCUGUCAGUUGAAAGUGUAGCGAGUCAACACACAAAUGAUGUGAGUUCAUGAUACUUGAUUUGUACAGUAGUCUGAUAAAAAUUUAGAGUUCAAGUUCGUUGGUUUUAAUUUGUUUAAGUUUUUUGUAAGAUUUAAUCUCUGAAAAUAAAAGGCCACAAUGCUAGGCAAGUUAUAAGUAAUUUAACUUCACUAAUAUCAUUGGCUAAUCAAUAAGGAUCAAUUAAAGUUUCAAGAAAUUGAAAGUGAGUUACUAUUAUUUUGAUCUUGAGCCCAGGGAAAUCGUGCAUUUUGGUAUAAUUACUAGGAAUCAGUGGUUUGGACUUUUGUGUCAGUUGGGAUUCGAUCCUU